rnacentral:rRNA from 1 species
ACCCCACUGCUAUCGGGAUAGGACUAAGACAUGCUAGUCGAGCGCUUCAAGCCAAAAAGAGGCGCGGCAUACAGCUCAGUAACACGUGGCUAAUCUGCCCUUGGGAUAGGAACACCCCCGGGAAACUGGGGCUAAUUCCCAAUAGGCGAAGAACUCUGGAAUGAGUCUUUACCAGAAAAGACGCUUGCGUUAUGCUCGUAAGUGUCGCCCAAGGAUGAGGCCGCGACCGAUCAGGUUGUUGGUGAGGUAAUGGCUCACCAAGCCUUUUACCGGUGCGGGCCGUGAGAGCGGGAGCCCGGAGAUGGGCACUGAGACAAGGGCCCAGGCCCUACGGGGCGCAGCAGUCGCGAAAACUUUGCAAUAAGCGAAAGCUUGACAGGGCUAUCCCGAGUGCCAUCCGCUGAGGAAGGCUUUUACCCAGUCUAGAACGCUGGGGGAAUAAGGAGAGGGCAAGUCUGGUGUCAGCCGCCGCGGUAAUACCAGCUCUCCGAGUGGUGUGGAUGUUUAUUGGGCCUAAAGCAUCCGUAGCUGGCUAAGUUAGUCCCUUGUUAAAUCCACCGAAUUAAUCGUUGGAUUGCGGGGGAUACUGCUUGGAUAGGGGACGAGAGAGGCAGACGGUAUUUCCGGGGUAGGGGUGAAAUCCUAUAAUCCCGGGAAGACCACCAGUGGCGAAGGCUGUCUGCUAGAACGCGCCCGACGGUGAGGGAUGAAAGCUGGGGGAGCGAACCGGAUUAGAUACCCGGGUAGUCCCAGCUGUAAACGAUGCAGGCUAGGUGUUUGGACGGCCACGUGCCGUUCUAGUGCCGCAGGGAAGCUGUUAAGCCUGCCGCCUGGGGAGUACGAUCGCAAGGCUGAAACUUAAAGGAAU